CCGGGAACCGCCGCUGCCACUGAGCCGGGAGCACGGGAGGGCCCCGUCGGGCCGGGAGGGCUUUGGGCGAGUUGGGCUUGUCAAAGGGAGGACCUGGUGGCAAGUGGCUGGCAGUUGCCGCUCUGUCUGGAGCGUGGGGGAGUCUCACGCUCAGUGCAGGGGCCAGCUGUGGGGACUCCUCACCCAAAGCAGGGCACCAGCAAUCCGUAGUAGCCCGCAGGAAAGGGGCAGCUGCCCAGCCGCAGCCCAGGUGCAAGGGGCAUUUGUUUCCACGGGGCAAGCAAGGAAGACUUUACCCUGAAACAAAGAAUUGAGACCAACCGAGACUGUCCCAGCCUCUUCGACGGCAGAGGAAUCCCAGCUUCUGGACUGAGGGGCUACAUCUAUCCCCCUCCCCCACCUCUUUAACUUUAAAAUAGUUUAAUGAACACAGAGAGAGAAAUCAUUUUUUUUUUUCUGCGUGGUGAGCAGUCUACAAAGAGAAAUGGGAAAGGAGGGAGAGAGCUUUAACUCUGAUCCCCGCAAUUAGUUCCCUGGGAUUGUUGGUGUGUGUGUGGGGGGGGCAACCCGGGAGCCUCAGUUCUUCAGAUACAAAAGCAUUUAGAUCGCUUUAGACCGGU
rnacentral:lncRNA from 1 species